GGAGAAAAUGGAAGAGGGAGAGGAUACAAAGGAGGAGGAGGAAGAAGUAAAGUGGAGCAGAAGCACAUGACCUGGAGAAACCGCAAAUUCUAAGGGGUCUCAUAGAUGUGGAAGAUGGUGCGGGUGCACACGUGGGAAGCUCAUUCCCCAAGCCGUCUCCCAGGCCAGCCUGGACUCCCCAGGGUGUCUGCUCCAAGUACGAAUGUGUAGAUCUGCACAUCCCCUGGAGCUACACUGGUUCUCAGUAUCAGCCUGACACAAAAGUCACCUUGGAAAAGUCUCAACUGAAUGGCUGCCUCCUUCCAGUUGGCUGAGAGGGAGAGCUCAUGAUUGCAGAAAAGGGAAGAGCAGAAGGGACAAUGGGUCCACACAAACUCCCACCACAAAGAGGACACAGCCUUGCAAACCAGCACCCGUGCAGAGCACAGCACACCCAGGUAACUCACUUCUGACAGAAGAGCUGCCCGCAGUUCCUGCAAUGGUGCCUUCUCUCUGUGAGGGAGAAGCGUACAGAGCAUCCCGAACAGCUGUCGCCGCCUUCAUCCUUCACCCAGUGGUCAGCGGCUGAACGGCCAGGCUGGUCACUCACAGACCAGCUGAACACUCGGCCUCGACUGUCACCCACAAGGAUCCUGCUGUGAUCCCUGUGCAAAACACAAGAAGGCCUCUGGUCUAGGGCUCAGGGUGUUCAGAAGGAGCCCCAUUCC
ensembl:antisense Gm20548 predicted gene 20548